rnacentral:rRNA from 1 species
AUUCCGCCUGGGGAGUACGGUCGCAAGAUUAAAACUCAAAGGAAUUGACGGGGGCCCGCACAAGCAGCGGAGCAUGUGGUUUAAUUCGAAGCAACGCGAAGAACCUUACCUAGACUUGACAUCUCCUGCAUUACUCUUAAUCGAGGAAGUCCCUUCGGGGACAGGAAGACAGGUGGUGCAUGGUUGUCGUCAGCUCGUGUCGUGAGAUGUUGGGUUAAGUCCCGCAACGAGCGCAACCCUUAUUGUUAGUUGCCAUCAUUAAGUUGGGCACUCUAGCGAGACUGCCCGGGUUAACCGGGAGGAAGGUGGGGAUGACGUCAAAUCAUCAUGCCCCUUAUGUCUAGGGCUACACACGUGCUACAAUGGUCGGUACAAUAAGACGCAAGCCCGCGAGGGGGAGCAAAACUGGAAAACCGAUCUCAGUUCGGAUUGUAGGCUGAAACUCGCCUACAUGAAGCUGGAGUUGCUAGUAAUCGCGAAUCAGCAUGUCGCGGUGAAUACGUUCCCGGGCCUUGUACACACCGCCCGUCACACCAUGAGAGUUGGCAAUACCCAAAGUACGUGAUCUAACCCGUAAGGGAGGAAGCGUCCUAAGGUAGGGUCAGCGAUUGGGGUGAAGUCGUAACAAGGUAGCCGUAGGAGAACCUGCGGCUG